rnacentral:rRNA from 1 species
GACAGAGGGUGCUAGCGUUGUUCGGAAUUACUGGGCGUAAAGGGCGCGUAGGCGGCCCGUUUAGUCGGGUGUGAAAUCCCGGGGCUCAACCCCGGAACUGCAUUCGAUACUGGCGGGCUUGAGACCGGAAGAGGUGGGUGGAAUACCCAGUGUAGAGGUGAAAUUCGUAGAUAUUGGGUGGAACACCGGUGGCGAAGGCGGCUCACUGGUCCGGUUCUGACGCUGAGGCGCGAAAGCGUGGGGAGCAAACAGG